GACGAACGCUGGCGGCGUGCUUAACACAUGCAAGUCGAACGGAAAGGCCCUGCUUUUGUGGGGUGCUCGAUUGGCGAACGGGUGAGUAACACGUGAGUAACCUGCCCUUGACUUUGGGAUAACUUCAGGAAACUGGGGCUAAUACCGGAUAGGAGCUCCUGCUGCAUGGUGGGGGUUGGAAGGUUUCGGCGGUUGGGGAUGGACUCGCGGCUUAUCAGCUUGUUGGUGGGGUAGUGGCUUACCAAGGCUUUGACGGGUAGCCGGCCUGAGAGGGUGACCGGCCACAUUGGGACUGAGAUACGGACCAGACUGCUACGGGAGGCAGCAGUGGGGAAUAUUGCACAAUGGGCGGAAGCCUGAGGCAGCAACGCCGCGUGCGGGAUGACGGCCUUCGGGUUGUAAACCGCUUUCGCCUGUGACGAAGCGUGAGUGACGGUAAUGGGUAAAGAAGCACCGGCUAACUACGUG
rnacentral:rRNA from 1 species